rnacentral:rRNA from 1 species
UUGACGGGGCCCGCACAAGCAGCGGAGCGUGUGGUUUAAUUCGAUGUUACGCGAAAACCUUACCGGGCUUGACAUGCAGGUAGUAGGGAACCGAGAGGGACCGACUCUUCGGAGAGCCUGCACAGGUGCUGCAUGGCUGUCGUCAGCUCGUGCCGUGAGGUGUCCGGUUAAGUCCGGUAACGAGCGCAACCCUCGCCAUAUGUUACAAGUGUCAUAUGGGACUGCCGAUAUAAAGUCGGAGGAAGGUGGGGAUGACGUCAAGUCAGCAUGGCCUUUAUGUCCGGGGCUACACACACGCUACAAUGGCCGGUACAAUAGGUAGCAAGACCGCGAGGUGGAGCCAAUCCUUAAAGCCGGUCUCAGUUCAGAUUGCAGGCUGCAACCCGCCUGCAUGAAGUCGGAGUUGCUAGUAACCGCAGGUCAGCUAUACUGCGGUGAAUACGUUCCCGGGGCUU